rnacentral:rRNA from 1 species
CACGGGCAUUGCCUUAGUACGGCGAGUGAAGCGGCAAAAGCUCAAAUUUGAAAUCUGGUACCUUCGGUGCCCGAGUUGUAAUUUGGAGAGGGCAACUUUGGGGCCGUUCCUUGUCUAUGUUCCUUGGAACAGGACGUCAUAGAGGGUGAGAAUCCCGUGUGGCGAGGAGUGCGGUUCUUUGUAAAGUGCCUUCGAAGAGUCGAGUUGUUUGGGAAUGCAGCUCUAAGUGGGUGGUAAAUUCCAUCUAAAGCUAAAUAUUGGCGAGAGACCGAUAGCGAACAAGUACAGUGAUGGAAAGAUGAAAAGAACUUUGAAAAGAGAGUGAAAAAGUACGUGAAAUUGUUGAAAGGGAAGGGCAUUUGAUCAGACAUGGUGUUUUGUGCCCUCUGCUCCUUGUGGGUAGGGGAAUCUCGCAUUUCACUGGGCCAGCAUCAGUUUUGGUGGCAGGAUAAAUCCAUAGGAAUGUAGCUUGCCUCGGUAAGUAUUAUAGCCUGUGGGAAUACUGCCAGCUGGGACUGAGGACUGCGACGUAAGUCAAGGAUGCUGGCAUAAUGGUUAUAUGCCGCCCGUCUGAAAAACGCG